rnacentral:rRNA from 1 species
GAUGAACGCUAGCGGCAGGCUUAAUACAUGCAAGUUGAGGGGCAGCAUGAUAUACGUGAGUAUAUUGAUGGCGACCGGCGGACGGGUGAGUAAUAGGUAGGAGACCUACCUCAUACAGGGGGAUAGCAUAGAGAAAUCUGUGGUAAUACCCCAUGAGGUUAUAUGAAUAGAGGCAUAUAAUCAAAGCAUAAGCGAUUAUGCGGUAUGAGAGGGGCCUACUGACCAUUAGCUAGUUGGUGAGGUAAGGGCUCACCAAGGCGAAGAUGGUUAGGGGUUUUGAGAGAGAGACCCCCCACAUUGGAACUGAGAGACGGUCCAGACUCCUACGGGAGGCAGCAGUAGGGAAUAUUGGGCAAUGGGCGAAAGCCUGACCCAGCCAUGCCGCGUGAAGGAGACGGCCUUAUGGGUUGUAAACUUCUUUACUACGCGAAUAGAGGUUAGUACGAGAUACUAAUAGGAAGGUAGUGUAGUAAAAGCACCGGCUAACU